rnacentral:rRNA from 1 species
CGAACGGGUGAGUAAUACAUCGGAACGUGUCCGCUCGUGGGGGGACAACCAGCCGAAAGGUUGGCUAAUACCGCAUGAGUUCUACGGAAGAAAGAGGGGGACCCGCAAGGGCCUCUCGCGAGCGGAGCGGCCGAUGACUGAUUAGCCGGUUGGUGAGGUAACGGCUCACCAAAGCAACGAUCAGUAGCUGGUCUGAGAGGACGACCAGCCACACUGGGACUGAGACACGGCCCAGACUCCUACGGGAGGCAGCAG